GAACGCUGGCGGCAUGCCUUACACAUGCAAGUCGAGCGGCAGCGCGGGGGCAACCCUGGCGGCGAGCGGCGAACGGGUGAGUAAUGCAUCGGAACGUGUCCUCUUGUGGGGGAUAACCAGUCGAAAGACUGGCUAAUACCGCAUGAGAUCGAGAGAUGAAAGCAGGGGACCGCAAGGCCUUGCGCGAGAGGAGCGGCCGAUGCCCGAUUAGCUAGUUGGUGGGGUAAAAGCCUACCAAGGCGACGAUCGGUAGCUGGUCUGAGAGGACGACCAGCCACACUGGGACUGAGACACGGCCCAGACUCCUACGGGAGGCAGCAGUGGGGCAUUUUGGACAAUGGGGGCAACCCUGAUCCAGCCAUGCCGCGUGUGUGAAGAAGGCCUUCGGGUUGUAAGGCACUUUCGGACGGAACGAAAUCGCGCGAGUUAAUAACUUGCGUGGAUGACGGUACCGUAAGAAGAAGCACCGGCUAACUACGUGCCAGCAGCCGCGGUAAUACGUAGGGUGCGAGCGUUAAUCGGAAUUACUGGGCGUAAAGUGUGCGCAGGCGGCGUUGCAAGUCGAGUGUGAAAUCCCCGAGCUUAACUUGGGAAUUGCGCUCGAAACUACGAUGCUCGAGUGUGGCAGAGGAAGGUGGAAUUCCACGUGUAGCGGUGAAAUGCGUAGAGAUGUGGAGGAACACCGAUGGCGAAGGCAGCCUUCUGGGCCAACACUGACGCUCAUGCACGAAAGCGUGGGGAGCAAA
rnacentral:rRNA from 1 species